rnacentral:tRNA from 1 species
GGGGCUGUAGCUCAGUGGUAGAGCAUCUCAUUUGCAAUAACAUUCCUGCGAAUGUCACACAACUGUUGAGAAGGUCUAGGGUUCAAUCCCCUACCGCUCCA